AGAGCACAUUCGUCUGAUUAACAUCUUUUAGGUGUAGUUUCGCUUGAAAUGCAGCAUGUCCUGUAUAGCUGGUUCUUCAUAGGUGUUUUCCACUUGUGACUUGUGUGGUCUGAUGUCUCAGAGAAAGAAGAGCUUAUUUUACCACAAGUGCGAAUCAGGACACACAGGACAGAACUAAAAGAAACACACAUGUUGCACUUACUGGGAAUCGUUGUUGGCCUUCUGUUCGUCAUAAUGUGCUUUUCAAAAGGACUCAAAGAGGGAAAUAAAUCUCAGUCGCAACCACCUGAAUCUUCUACAAACAACAAGAAGAAGGACCUGAGUGAAGAAGAUUUCCAUUUAUUGGCCAAGAUCCUUUCAGCUGGAUUGGUGGAUGCAGAUCCAAACUACCUCCAACAUCUUAAAGGCUACAGAGAUCUGCGUGGUGGCUGAUCUUUAAAAAAAAAACAUCUACACUUACUGUAACUAAUGACCAAGAAACAACGGUUUCUGGUUUUUACCCAUAGAUUUGUGAUGACAUCAAAUCAAGGAUCUUCACCACUGUGUUUUGGAUUGCCACAAGUCAAGUUAUUUUUGUAACCCCUCCAGAUGUUCCAUGAUUAAUGGAAAGAUUUACUUUAUUCAUUUCAAAAAUGAUAUUGGCAAUGAAUUAGGUAUAACCUCCUGUUUACAUAGAGGGGAACUCACCUGUGCUCAUUGUGGAUGUGAUCAAUUUGAUGUAGGAUUCUGACUGCUUUAUUUAUUGCCUAAAUGUGGGACUAUUAUUUGAAAUAUGUGAAUAUGUGGAAAAUCAGGAAAUGCGGAAAAUGAAAAUAUAAAAGCAAAAGGGUUACUUGUGCUCUUUUGGCACAGUGCUCAGUGGCACUUUCUUUAUUAGGCUUGUUUCGAUGUUUAAAAUACAUUAUUCAAAUGUUGUCUAAUGUUAAAUAUCCCUGUUUAACUGUAAAACUGAACUCAGACAUUUACAACAUUUACAUUACACGUGUACGCGUUACACAAUUUAGCUGCCUGAGGCAGUUUCAGUACAGAGAGCAGCCGAGACUAACUUCUACUUAAUGGCUACUGUUCUUUAUAAAGAAAUAAUGCUUUCAGCUAAAUGCUAAAAUUUGCUUUACUGUUUACGCAGUCAUGUGCAUCACACAGCAACGUUUAGUUUAAGUUUUACUAACUUUAACUAACAUUAGCCAUCACGAGCUACUGGUCAUACCAGACAAACAUAGGCUGUAGCAACAAAACCCCUGAGUGUAUUUCACUGAGCAAUGGUGCAUUUUAUUGCUUAUAAAUUCAACUUUUCAAUUGUAAGAGAUUCAGAAGUUACACAGUCUUGCUUUAAAGGACAAUUUUCAUGUGGCAGAAAGGUUGAAUAAUGCUACUUUGCUACUGCUGUCCACUUGUUCAUGUCUUUACCUAAAGGAGACGAGACAGAGAGAGGUAGACAGACAAAGAAAGAUGUUAGAGUCAAUUGAUAUGUAAUCUAUUGUUUGUCUCCAGUGGUAAACACAAUAUCUCUUACUCCAGACGUGGGUGUUGAGCUUGUCCCCUAGCACAUAGAGCAAGGUCACCACUGUCAUGUUGAAAAAGAAGAAGCCCACCAGACCUGCAGUGCUGAAGUGCCCAAGAAGGGGAUACACCCAAAUCCCAGCUGACAAAUACACCCAUAUGAUCCUGCAGAACAUGUUUAGUGAGAAAGA